rnacentral:lncRNA from 1 species
AUCUCUUCAGAAUGGCACUGGGGAAACAAAAAGAUUGGUUGGCCGGGACCUUCAACAGUAUCAGAGUCAGGCUAAGUAACUCUUUCGAAAGUUGAAUGAACAGUCCCCUACCAGAUGUACCUUGGAAGCAGGAGCCAUGACUUUUCAGUACAUUAUUGAGCAGGGGGUGUGUGAUUUGGUUUUAUGUGAAGCUGCCUUCCCUAAGACGUUGGCUUUUGCCUACCUAGAAGAUUUGCACUCAGAAUUUGAUGAACAGCAUGGAAAGAAGGUGCCCACUGUGUCCCGACCCUAUUCCUUUAUUGAAUUUGGUACUAUCCUGAUUCCUGGUAAGGAAAAAUAUAUUAUUUCCUUAUAACAAGGCAAGGAGAAAUGCUAUUUUAUUCCUGAUAAUUUAUAUAGCUAGAAUAAUUUUUUUCCUUUCUUUUAUGGACCUAAAUCUGCCAAUUGGGAAUUUUGUGCAUGAAAUAUGAAGUUACUUUUUAUAGAUAAUCAGUGCUUUUAAGUCCCUAAAAGGCUCCUGCUGAAGUAAUGAUGAAGUUCAUAAUAAAAGCCUUUGAAAGGCUGAAAACCUACAUAGUGGUACCAUAGUAUUUGGAGCUUCUAUAGGAGUGGAGAGGGGCAGCUCAUUGUUGAGAGUUGCAUGCUGCAACCUAAUGGUCAGCAAUGAAAGAAAUACUUGUAGAAUGUUCACUUCAGUGUGAAGUUUUGUUAUCUAGUUAAUUUAUAUACAUAUAUCCUUUGUAGAUACAUUUCUAUCUAAUCUUGUUGAGCUAAUUAAGAAAUAAGGGGUGGGGUAAUUGUCAACAAAGGGAGAAGAAAGUGGUUUAAGAUCAGGGCAGCAGAAAAAUUAGAGAACAAGAAUAUCAUAAUAUGGCUCCUGGUUUUCUUUAUAAGAGGCAGUGGGAAGAUCUGACUAGAUGAAAUGUAUCAUCAACCAAACUGGCAUCUAAAAUAGAAUGGGAUAAAUACUGUAUGGGGUUAUUGGAGGCAUAUUAAGAAAGGACACCUAAUUUAUUUUGGGAAGAAGUAUGUUAAGAGAAGACUUUCUAGAGAAGGAGAAUGGGGCAUUCUAGGAAGAGUCAAUGGCAUGUGCAAAGGCAUGAAUAAAGACAGUGAGGCAUGUUUUGGAAAUGUAACAGCUUGAUUCAGCUUAGCCCAUAGGGUAAGCAUAGACAACAGAGGAGACUUGAGGAAUGAGAACUAGAUGGGUACACUAUCAUAAAGGGACUUGUCUAUCAUGCUGAGGAGUUUAGACCAUCUUAAUGGUAGUGGCCAAGGAUGGCAUCAGAUUUAUAGUUUCAAGUGAUCAUAAUAUUGGCAUAAAAGAUAUAUUAGGGAGGAAGCCUGAAGUAGGGAGAUGAAAAUAAGGAGCCAUCAAAGGCAGAAUGAAACUUAGGCAGAUUUCAAGUGAUUUUCAAAAAUGAUGUGAUCAGAGGUACCAGAUAAUAACUAUUACAUAACACUUUCUUUGUUAGGAGCUUAUUUCUCACACUGACCAAAGCUUUUGAAGUAAGUACUCUUUACACCACUAUAUAAAUAAACCUUACAAAGGAUUCUGCUUUGAGGCAUGAGAGAGUUAAGUCAUUUGCCCAAAGUCACAGAGUUAGAAAGUAAUAGAGCUAAGAUUUGAACCUAGGCAGUUUGGCUCCAGAGUCUGUGCUCUUACACUAUAUUACCACCAAGAGGUCAAAUAAAUACCAAAGAAUGUAUUUUCGAAUUUAACAAUGAGGAACUUAAUCAUACAGGCAGAAGUAAUUCCAGAGCACCGGAGACAGAAGCCAGAUUGCCAUAUGGGUUAAAGAGUGUGUAAACCACUAGGAAGUAAAGACAUAGAACUACUCUCACAAGUGCUUUUCUGGUUAUUGUGACGCUGAA